rnacentral:rRNA from 1 species
UACGGAGGAUGCGAGCGUUAUCCGGAUUUAUUGGGUUUAAAGGGUGCGUAGGCGGGCUUUUAAGUCAGCGGUAAAAAUGCGGUGCUCAACGCCGUCGAGCCGUUGAAACUGGCGUUCUUGAGUGGGCGAGAAGUAUGCGGAAUGCGUGGUGUAGCGGUGAAAUGCAUAGAUAUCACGCAGAACUCCGAUUGCGAAGGCGGCAUACCGGCGCCCUACUGACGCUGAGGCACGAAAGCGUGGGUAUCGAACAGG